UUUUGACCUCAAAUCAGGUAGGACUACCCGCUGAACUUAA
rnacentral:rRNA from 6 species